UACGUAGGUGGCGAGCGUUUAUCCGGAAUUACUGGGCGUAAAGCGCACGUAGGCGGUCUUUUAAGUCGGGGGGUGAAAUCCUGGAGCUCAACUCCAGAACUGCCUUCGAUACUGGAAGACUUGAGUCCGGGAGAGGUGAGUGGAACUGCGAGUGUAGAGGUGAAAUUCGUAGAUAUUGGGAAGAACACCAGUGGCGAAGGCGGCUCACUGGUCCGAUACUGACGCUGAGGUGCGAAAGCGUGGGGAGCAAGCAGG
rnacentral:rRNA from 1 species